rfam:Anoxybacillus flavithermus WK1, complete genome.
UGAAACAAGCAGAAGCACCCGCUUCUCACCUGAUGGACGCCGUAGGGCUGUUAACAGGUUCAUGACAAAACAAAUGUUGUGAGUGAGACGUGUGGGUGUGUUGUGCCCACACGUUUUUUGUUGU